CUCGCUGGUCACGUGCUUUUGUUUACACAACAUGGCGUGAAAACCGUCGUUGCACCUGAGUCACUUGCGUGAUAUGCUGCACGUACCGUCCUCUAAACCUUUUAACUCCUCCAUCAACAUCUGAACGUAGUUGUGUACUCUGUGUGGUAUAAUGUUCUGCGAUGAAUUGGUUCAAACCAGGAAGAUCCCGCUGGAGAAAGGGGCGGACGUUAGCUCUUCUGUUGGUUUUUGUAGCAUUAUAUUUCAUUCUUCAGUUUUUCUAUCUAUCGAAGUUGAACAGUUUUAGCAGGAGGUCAUUAAGGUACCCUAGAGAGGUUAAAAUUAAUUAUCAAGUCAACCAUACCCUCCUUGAAAAAGUAAAUGGCAUACCUAGAGGAGUUCACCCUUCCUAUGCAUCACUGUAUUCUACGGAUAAAAACGGAUUGUUCAAAUGUUUGAAAUCCGAGGUCUGGAUUCCAGAGAGUCAAGUAAACGAUGACUUUUGCGAUUGCCCAGACUUCUCUGAUGAACCAGGAACUUCCGCUUGUCCUGAUAGCAGGUUCUACUGUAACAUACAGCUACCCCAUAAAGAGCCUCAGUUUCUUCAUUCCAGCAAAGUCAAUGAUGGAAUAUGUGAUUGUUGUGAUGGAAGUGAUGAGUGGAGUGGAAAGGUAGUGCCAGACAUCAUGAACCUGAAAGGCAAAAGUGGUGCAGUUUUUCACAGUCCAUGUCAGAAUCAUUGCGGGAACAUCAUGCAGUUGAUUGAGGAUGAGAAACGCAUUAGUUCUAUGGGUGCACUGCUGAAGAAGAAGUAUCUUGAGUCCGCUAUGACGCUUUCUAAAAAUGAAAAAAAAAAAAGUAUGGCCCUGAAGGAGUCUUUUACCUAUUACACCAAAGCUGCUUUGAGUAUUCCUCAAAUGAUUACAAGUACACCAUCUGCCCUUUUGAUUCAGUUAAGCAGAGUAAGGUCUACUCUCAAUCUGCUACAAUACUGGGUCGCUCAGGGUUAUGGACUCAGUUGAAGCAAGGAGACUAUCUGUUGAGUAUGGGGCAAGGUGAUGCUUCACUUUGUCCAGAUGGCCAGCCUCGUGAGACUAAGCUGCAUUUUCUUUGUGGACUGGAGGACCGUGUGAUCAGUGUGCACGAAGAUCAGAAGUGUCAGUACUUUGUAAAAAUUAGUACACCAGCAGCUUGCUAGAUGCUGGGCUUUUGGCUUGGAAUCUGAAACUGCAGGACAGAGUUGUUUUAGGAACCUAUCAAAGGAUGGAAGUUGAAAUCCUGAAAUGUGCAUCUCUGAAACAGAUAUUGGAAAGGAUUUCAUCCCAGAACUUUCCAUCAGUCUGAAGAUUUUCCAUGGGACACCAUUCCAAUUAGGAAAUAUCAUAUUUGCAAUUAUAUUCCAGUACACUUUCCAUCUUAUAAUUUUCUUUAUGAACGUAUAUUAUUUGUGUAUAUUAUAGGUGGGUUUGCUGUCCUCCUCCCUUCCAUUUGUUUGGAAGCUGAAAGAAAUUUUAUGUUGAUUGACUCUUGGCAAGAUCGUUAAAAUUCAUUUUUAUGCAAUAUGCAAAGAAAAUUCUGACAAAAGAUUCUGUGUCUUUGUAAAACCCAUAUUUAUUACACAUUUUACUAAGCUUUUAACAUUUUAAUGAGAGCAUGAAUUUAGCAUGAGAGAUGAAAGUAAAGAGUUGUGAGAACCAG